AAAAUUGUUGAUCAGGUCACGAUCUAUCUGCCCUGGAAUUUUCAGAUGAAUCAGAUAAUUGGUUGUUAGGUUGCUGCCCCUGAAUUGGUAAUUUUGAGGAAAUUUUGCUGUUUUUUUGUUAUCUUGAAUAUUAUUAUAGAUAGAGAUAAACUGUAAACAGCAAUAAUGUACAGCAAAGUAAGAACUAAAAAUAAGUCACUAUGACCAAAAUAGUCAAUUGACCCCCUAAGGAGUUAUUGCCCUUCAUAGUCAAUUUUUAACAAUUUUCUUAAAAUUUGAAGAUUUUCAAUAACAUUUUCCACAGAAAGUACUGUUAUAGAUAGAGAUAAUUGUAAGCAGCAAGAAUGUUUAGUAAAGUAAGAUCUCCAAACACAUCACCAUCACCAAAACACAAUUUUGUCAUGAAUCCAUCUG
rnacentral:lncRNA from 1 species